rnacentral:rRNA from 1 species
GACGAACGCUGGCGGCGUGCCUAAUACAUGCAAGUAGAACGCACAGUUUAUACCGUAGCUUGCUACACCAUAGACUGUGAGUUGCGAACGGGUGAGUAACGCGUAGGUAACCUGCCUGGUAGCGGGGGAUAACUAUUGGAAACGAUAGCUAAUACCGCAUAAUAUUAAUUAUUGCAUGAUAAUUAAUUGAAAUGUGCAAUUGCACCACUACCAGAUGGACCUGCGUUGUAUUAGCUAGUAGGUGAGGUAACGGCUCACCUAGGCGACGAUACAUAGCCGACCUGGGAGGGUGAUCGGCCACACUGGGACUGGGACCCGGCCCCGACUCCUACGGGAGGCAGCAGUAGGGAAUCUUCGGCAAUGGACGGAAGUCUGACCGGGCAACGCCGCGUGAGUGAAGAAGGGUUUCGGAUCGUAAAGCUCUGUUGUAAGGGAAGAACGGGUGUGAGAGUGAAAAGUUCACACUGUGACGGUACCUUACCAGAAAGGGACGGCUAACUACGUG